rnacentral:rRNA from 1 species
GACGAACGCUGGCGGCGUGCUUAACACAUGCAAGUCGAACGGAAAGGCCCUGCUUUUGUGGGGUGCUCAAGUGGCGAGCGGGUGAGUAACACGUGAGUAACCUGCCCUUGACUUUGGGAUAACUUCAGGAAACUGGGGCUAAUACCGGAUAGGAGCUCCUGCUGCAUGGUGGGGGUUGGAAAGUUUCGGCGGUUGGGGAUGGACUCGCGGCUUAUCAGCUUGUUGGUGGGGUAGUGGCUUACCAAGGCUUUGACGGGUAGCCGGCCUGAGAGGGUGACCGGCCACAUUGGGACUGAGAUACGGCCCAGACUCCUACGGGAGGCAGCAGUGGGGAAUAUUGCACAAUGGGCGGAAGCCUGAUGCAGCAACGCCGCGUGCGGGAUGACGGCCUUCGGGUUGUAAACCGCUUUCGCCUGUGACGAAGCGUGAGUGACGGUAAUGGGUAAAGAAGCACCGGCUAACUACGUG